rfam:Ammonifex degensii KC4, complete genome.
UCAUAAAAUUCCUUUCUGCCUGAGACAGUUGGUGCCCUUUUAAGGGCUUAAAGGCGAGAAGCUUCGCCGCCAACCGAGGUGCUGUUGGGCUGGUUGAGGGUUUGCUUAGAAUCAAGCCUUUAACUGGGCGGAACCUCGGUUUUUGGCGGUUCCGCCCUUUCUAUUUUGGUGC